rnacentral:rRNA from 1 species
GAUGAACGCUAGCGACAGGCCUAACACAUGCAAGUCGAGGGGUAACGGCAGUAGCUUGCUACUAGACGACGACCGGCGCACGGGUGAGUAACGCGUAUGUAACCUACCUCUAACAGGAGAAUAGCCCUAAGAAAUUGGGAUUAAUGCUCCAUAGUAUUAUAGAUUCGCAUGAAUUUAUAAUUAAGUUCCGGCGGUUAGAGAUGGACAUGCGUAGUAUUAGCUAGUUGGUGAGGUAACGGCUCACCAAGGCAUCGAUACUUAGGGGUUCUGAGAGGAUUGUCCCCCACACUGGUACUGAGACACGGACCAGACUCCUACGGGAGCAGCAGUGAGGAAUAUUGGUCAAUGGAC